rnacentral:rRNA from 1 species
UACGGGGGGGGCAAGCGUUGUUCGGAAUUACUGGGCGUAAAGGGCUCGUAGGCGGCCAACUAAGUCGGAUGUGAAAUCCCCCAGCUUAACCUGGGAACUGCAUCCCGAUACUGGAUGGCUUGAAUUCGGGAGAGGGAUGCAGAACUCCAGGUGUAGCGGUGAAAUGCGUAGAUAUCUGGAGGAAUACCGGUGGCGAAGGCGGCAUCCUGGACCGACAUUGACGCUGAGUGAGCGAAAGCUAG